AAAGAAAUGAUGACUAUUGAUAAGGCAGAAAGCAAAAACAUAUCAUCAGUACUUUGGAUGACCAAAUAUGUAAGUGAAGGUUUCUAAACUCUCCCAAAUCACACUGAUUAUACUCAUUCUAAUUAGAAGUUUUAAAUCCUUGCAACAUUGUAAUAAAAUUUAUUCUUCCCCAUUGUGAUAUAUUAUUUAUGAGUUAUGACUACUUAAUUAUUGAUUAAUCAAGCCAAGUACUCAAGUUUCAUCAACUUUCUGAUAUGUAUCUAGCACAACCUGUCACUUUACUUCCAAAUCCAUUGUCACAUUAUGCAAUGCCUGAUUAGGAAAUGUGUUUGAGUCUUUGGACGCUACAACUCCUACUUAAAGUAUUAAACUGAUUUCAUUAAGUUGAAUGAAUGACUAAGAUAUGAACAUGACAAAUAAUAUAUCAUAAAAAGGCAAAAAAUGAAUAAAACAACUAUAUAUACUGUGCAAAUAUAACCACGGAUUUAAUGAUCCAAAUACAUGUGAAAGGCAAAUGUUUAGCCUAUCUGUAAUUAAAGAGGUUUCAACUCAACUAUGAUAAGAGAGCUAAGUAAAUAGCAAGCUCUGUUGAAGGAAUCCGUACGAAGAACGUCAAGUGAUUUAUUAAAAUCAUAUGUCUGAAGAAUUUCAGGAUGCUGUUGCACACCACUGAUAGAAGUUCAUUAAUAUGUUCAAGCCUCAGUGUACAAAUAAUAUUUUGUAGCACGUCCAGAAGUCCAGAAGGUAUAAAGUUUUAAUACUUUAUUUAUUCAGAAGAUUCCAUACUAUUUCUACAAAUGAAGAAGAACUACGAAGACAAAGACUCGUCGAACAAGGCACCUCUCAAAUAUUUAUUUGAUAAAGAAUAUUUGAUUCAACUAGAUACAGAUGAACCAGACAGUACAUUUGUGUGUCAGCUACUCAGAUUAAUUAUUCUACAUCAACUAUAAGUGGCCGUUCAAUGAAGACAAUGACGGAAGACCCUGCAGCUGAAGAAAUAGAAUUUUAUAAUUAUUUAUUUAAUUAUUUCACCUCUCAAAAUAAUUAAAUUGGUUGUAUAAUUUAUUUAUUAAAUUGAUUCACCUUCGAAUUAAUUUAAUUUAUGAAUUUAUAUAAUUAAUAUAAUUAAGUGAAUAAUUAUUUAAUUGCAAAAUCAUGUUUUAUACAUUUAUAACUCGGCAUGACAUUAUCAAACAAUGUCAUACCGAGCUAUUUUGGUACAUUUCUCAGUGGGCAUGACAUUAUCUGAUAAUGUCAUACCGUGUCCCCUGGGUAUGACUUGUGGAGAUGUCAUACCGCACCUGCCUGACAUGACUUGUGCAUGUCAUACCGAAUGCAUCCGUAUGACAUUCCCUUCAUAUGUCAUACCGUGCCCUGUCUGUAUGACUUGUGCAUGUCAUACCGUGUCCUCUCUGUAUGACUUGUGCAUGUCAUACCGCACCUGUCCCGUAUGACUUGUGCAUGUCAUACCGCACCUGUCCAGUAUGACUUAGCUAUGUCAUACCGAGUUUUUCAGUAUGACAUUGCCUUAUAAUGUCAUACCCUCCCCUGUUUCAGUAUGACAUUGCCUAAUAAUGUCAUACCUUGUUCCUUGCAUGUCAUACCUUGUUCCUUGCAUGUCAUACCUAUACAAGUCAUACCCAAGCAAGUCAUAGCAUGGCAUGUCAUGCUAGUUCAAGUGGUUUUCCUAUAAAUAGGUCUCCACUUCCUUCAUUUGUAAAUGUUCAAAGAUUGUAAAGCUUUCAAGUUGUGCUAAACUUGCUAUUUGUUAAAUCCACAGUUUACUGUGCUUUGAUCAUUCGGUUGUUUUAUUCCGCUAAAUUAGAAUACUUCCUGUCAAAUUUAUUCUACGAACUAGUGGACAUUAAAACGAACCAUAUUAAUUAUAUAACGACUUAAAACAUUGUUAUAUUAAUUAAUUAAUUAAAAUCUGAUUAACAAGUUUAUAUUCAAUCAGAUUAUUCCGCCGCGAUUAUUUUUAAGUAACGAUUGUAUUCAACACCCCCCCUCUCUAAUCGUUCCAGGACCUAACAAUUGGCAUCAGAACGAGGUUGAUACCAUUUUCCGUAUCAGAUCCUAUACAUACUCUGUAACGUCCAAAUAUUUUUUAUUCGAAUUAAUUUUAUUCCAAAAAUUAAUUCUGAUUUAAAAUAUUUUUUCUUUCAAAAAUCCAAAUCUCAUCCAAACACUAUUCACUUCAAAUCCUUAAACAUGAGUACACAAAAGAUCAGUAGCAUCAAAAUCCCACCGUUCAGCAAGGAACACUUUGGCCUAUGGAAGAGGCACAUGUUACUAUUCCUCCGCACUGCAAACAGAAAAUACAUAGGGAUAUUAGACAAGGGUGUUUCUAUUCCAAUGAAAGUCAUAUUAGCACAUGAAGAAAAUGGUGUGUUAAUACCUCAUCAGACUAUUCCAAAAGAACUCUCUGAUUAUACAGAUGAAGAGAGUGAACAAAUGAACCUAGAUGAUGCUCUUCAACUUAUUUUGGUGGAAUCUCUAGAUCCAGUUAUGUACAAUACUGUUGUUAAUUGUACAAACGCAAAGCAAAUUUGGGAUACACUAGAGAUUAUAAACGAAGGCUCAGAAGAGGUCAGAGAAAAUAAGAAAGAGAUACUGAUGGCUCAGUAUGAACAGUUUGGUUCCAAUCCCGGAGAAGGGAUUUCAGAAGUAUUUAUCAGACUCAAUAAUCUGAUAAAUAAUUUAAAUCUGAAUGGGAAAUACUAUGACACGAAAGAGGUUAACAUGAAGUUUCUCUUAACCCUUCCCGAACAUCUGGAACACAGAAUCACUGCUAUCAGAUAAAGCAGAGAUCUGAAUGAGAUAUCUCUGGAGAGACUCUACGGAGUUUUGAAGACUUAUGAACUUGAACAAGUUCAGACAAAGCAGAGAUAUGGCUGGGGUAAAACACUGAGUAACUCAAGAGCUCUAGUUGUUGAGUCACCUACACCGGAAGAAAAGAAGGAUGUUGUUGUUCCUUCUAAGACCACUCAGGAAUUUGUUGUACCUGAGAUGGGUCAGACUGCUUCUUCCAGUGGUGACGAAGAGUUCUAUACAAUGGAAGAGCUAGAUCAGUUAGAAGAUCAAUCUCUAUCACUGUUUGCCAAGAAGUUUGGAAACAUCAGAUUCAAGAAGAACCCCUCCUACAAGUACAAACCUACUGUCAACAGGUUUCAAAAAGGAGGUUACUCAUCUUCUUCAAGCAAAGGAGGAUACAAGACUGGGAUGGUGGAUCGAAGCAAGUUCAAAUGCUUCAACUGUGGUGAGCCUGGACAUUUUGCAACUGAAUGCAAACAGCCCAAGGUUCAAGGAAAGAGAAAAGAUUCGUACGAUGAGCUGAAGCAGAAGUAUGAUGCACUUGUGAGAAAGCAUCAGGGUACUUCUGGAAAUCAUAACUUCAAAAGCAAAUCAUAUCUGGCAGAAGGAAAAAGCUGGGAUGAUACAGACAGUGAUGAAGAGGAGCAGCUAGGGAAUGUUGCUCUUAUGGCUAAUGCUGGAUCAUCUUCACCUCCUCCUGCUGGAAGCUUUCAGGUAGAUCCUACAUGCCCUAAACUUUUUAUGCAAUUAGGACUUGAAAGAGAUGAUGCUAUUAAAAAGAUGAAAGCUGCCAAUCUUAAAAUUGAUACUUUAGUCUUAGAAAUUCAUGCUUAUAAGAUGAAUGAGAUGAAAGUAUUAAAACCUAAAAUAGAACAAUUGACUAUGGAUUUAGGAUUACAAUGUGCUAAAGUCAAAGUUCUAGAGAAAGGUGAGAUUGCUUUAAGACUUCAGCUAGACGAAGAGAAAGUGAAAUGUAAAGCCUUUAAGGAUGCCUCCAUGAUAGUCAAAGAACUUAAUGAUAAACAAGAGAUCAAGAGAACUGUUGGAAUAGGUUUUGACUAUAACAAAUCUGUAGGUAAGGCUAGUAACAUUACUCCUUUUAAGAAGAGUGCUGAGGAGAGAGGGAUUCCUUUUGUUUUGAAAGAUUCCCCUAAACCUUUGUUUAAAACCUCAGAAGCUGAACCUCUUUUAGAGACUCCUGUUGUCAUUAGAUAUGAACUCAAACAGGAAGACCUUAAAAUGAAAGAGAGUAAUGAGAAGAGAGAUGAGAUCCUGACAUCACUGAAACCAAUCAAAGUGAAAGGCAAUGUUAGGUUGCCUAAAGCUGGUUUAGGUGUCAACUCUGAGAGAACUAAAUUCAACAAGCCUAAUAAUUUUGUGAAUAGUAAGAACAAGAACAAUAGAUGUCAUUCUACUGAGAACUUUAAAUCUGAUAACAAGGUUAGAGUAGAAUCUAUUGAUGUUCCUACUACUAUGACUGAUACUCCUGUUGUUCCUGCUUUUGAUGCAUGUCAUAAAUCUUGUAGUGUUGAUAAUUGUAUGACUUGUGCUUUCAAUUUGAUGUCUGCUUAUUUUAAAAAUUUGCAUGCUAAAAAUGAAAACACAUCACCUAGACAACACACAAACAACAAGCAUGCUAGAUCAAAGACUGCUAGUCCUACUCAUGUUAGGAAGGAGACUUAUGUUCCAAAGCCUAAAACUAAGGUUUAUAAGGCUGUUGUUAAGGAAGUAAGUUCAGUCAAGUCUGAACCAAGUAUCAGUCCAAGAGGCUCUGUUGUUACACCUGAUAGAAAUCAGUUCUUUAAGUUUGCUGGACCCAAUCAAGUGUGGGUCCCAAAGAAUGUUUAAUCAAGUUGUCUUUUGCAGGGUGCCAGUGGAAUUGUUCGUGUUACCUGGGUGCUUGACAGUGGAGCGUCAAUGCACAUGACUGGCAAUAAAUCCCUGCUGGAAGACAUAAGAGAAGGAGCUGGCCCUACAGUCAGUUUUGCUGAUAAUAGCAAAGGUCGUACUGUGGGAUAUGGCAAGUACAAAAUUGGAAGGAUCAUCAUAGAAGAUAUUGCAAUAGUUGAAGGACUUCAACAUAAUCUCCUGAGUGUCAGUCAAUUCUGUGACAAAGGAUAUUAUGUUCAUUUUGAAAAGGAGAUAUGUAUCAUUAAACAUAUCAAGGAUAAGCGUCCUUCACUAUGUGGCAUAAGGAAAGGCAAUAUAUUCGUAGCUGAUUUGUCUUCAGGACCAGGAAACGAAGUUCACUGUUUCUACGCCAAAGCGUCUGCUGAAGAUAGUUGGUUAUGGCAUAAGAAGCUCUCACACCUCAACUUCAAAACCAUGAACUCUCUAGUCAAGAGAGAUCUAGUGAGAGGUUUGCCUUCCCUGGAAUUCUCAACUGAUGAUCUCUGUGAAGCUUGUCAGAAAGGAAAAGCGAAGAGAGCAUCUCACAAAGGCAAAACCAUCAAUACCAUUACAGAUCCACUUCAUUUGUUGCAUAUGGAUUUGUUUGGCCCUGUGAAUGUUGCAUCCAUUGAUGGAGGAAGAUAUGCCUUGGUUAUUGUGGAUGACUUCUCAAAAUUUACUUGGGUUUACUUCCUGGCUUCUAAGGAUGAAACCCCGUUGACAGUGAUUGAUCAUAUAAAGUUAGUUGAAUUGGAUAAAGGUGUGCCAGUGAAAUGAUGCCGACAUCACUGAAACCAAUAAAAGUGAAAGGCAAUGAUAAAACUAAAUUCAACAAGCCUAAUAACUUUGUGAAUAGUAAGAACAAGAACAAUAGAUGUCAUUCUACUGAGAACUUUAAAUCUGUUAACAAGGUUAGAGUAGAAUCUAUUGAUGUUCCUACUACUAUGACUGAUACUCCUGUUGUUCCUGCUUUUGAUGCAUGUCAUAAAUCUUGUAGUGUUGAUAAUUGUAUGACUUGUGCUUUCAAUUUGAUGUCUGCUUAUUUUAAAAAUUUGCAUGCUAAAAAUGAAAACACAUCACCUAGACAACACACAAACAACAAGCAUGCUAGAUCAAAGACUGCUAGUCCUACUCAUGUUAGGAAGGAGACUUAUGUUCCAAAGCCUAAAACUAAGGUUUAUAAGGCUGUUGUUAAGGAAGUAAGUUCAGUCAAGUCUGAACCAAGUAUCAGUCCAAGAGGCUCUGUUGUUACACCUGAUAGAAAUCAGUUCUUUAAGUUUGCUGGACCCAAUCAAGUGUGGGUCCCAAAGAAUGUUUAAUCAAGUUGUCUUUUGCAGGGUGCCAGUGGAAUUGUUCGUGUUACCUGGGUGCUUGACAGUGGAGCGUCAAUGCACAUGACUGGCAAUAAAUCCCUGCUGGAAGACAUAAGAGAAGGAGCUGGCCCUACAGUCAGUUUUGCUGAUAAUAGCAAAGGUCGUACUGUGGGAUAUGGCAAGUACAAAAUUGGAAGGAUCAUCAUAGAAGAUAUUGCAAUAGUUGAAGGACUUCAACAUAAUCUCCUGAGUGUCAGUCAAUUCUGUGACAAAGGAUAUUAUGUUCAUUUUGAAAAGGAGAUAUGUAUCAUUAAACAUAUCAAGGAUAAGCGUCCUUCACUAUGUGGCAUAAGGAAAGGCAAUAUAUUCGUAGCUGAUUUGUCUUCAGGACCAGGAAACGAAGUUCACUGUUUCUACGCCAAAGCGUCUGCUGAAGAUAGUUGGUUAUGGCAUAAGAAGCUUUCACACCUUAACUUCAAAACCAUGAACUCUUUAGUCAAGAGAGAUCUAGUGAGAGGAUUAUGUUCAUUUUGAAAAGGAGAUAUGUAUCAUUAAGCAUAUCAAGGAUAAGCGUCCUUCACUAUGUGGCAUAAGGAAAGGCAAUAUAUUCGUAGCUGAUUUGUCUUCAGGACCAGGAAACGAAGUUCACUGUUUCUACGCCAAAGCGUCUGCUGAAGAUAGUUGGUUAUGGCAUAAGAAGCUCUCACACCUCAACUUCAAAACCAUGAACUCUCUAGUCAAGAGAGAUCUAGUGAGAGGGUUGCCUUCCCUGGAAUUCUCAACUGAUGAUCUUUGUGAAGCUUGUCAGAAAGGAAAAGCGAAGAGAGCAUCUCACAAAGGCAAAACCAUCAAUACCAUUACAGAUCCACUUCAUUUGUUGCAUAUGGAUCUGUUUGGCCCUGUGAAUGUUGCAUCCAUUGAUGGAGGAAGAUAUGCCUUGGUUAUUGUGGAUGACUUCUCAAAAUUUACUUGGGUUUACUUCCUGGCUUCUAAGGAUGAAACCCCGUUGACAGUGAUUGAUCAUAUAAAGUUAGUUGAAUUGGAUAAAGGUGUGCCAGUCAAAGCUGUAAGGUCAGACAAUGGCACAGAAUUCAAGAAUCAAACUCUAAUCAACUUUUACUCUGAAAAGGGAAUUAGAAGGCAGUAUUCAGCACCAAGGACUCCUCAGCAGAAUGGAGUCGUCGAAAGAAAGAAUCGUACACUGAUCGAAGCUGCAAGGACUAUGAUUGCUGAAGCAAAGCUUCCUCUGUACUUUUGGGCUGAAGCUGUGUCUACUGCCUGCUAUACCCAGAAUAGAACUUUGAUCAACAAGGAUCAUAUGAAAACUCCAUUUCAUCUGUAUAACAACAAGAAACCUUAUGUCAAACAUCUUCAUGUCUUUGGAGCCAAGUGUUAUGUUCUCAAGGAUGGUGAAGAGAACUUGAACAAGUUUGAGCCAAAGGCAUCUGAUGCAAUUUUUUCUGGUUAUACAAAUAAUGCUUAUAGAGUUUUUGUAAUUGAUACUCUGUCAGUGAAAGUUAGUGUCAAUGUAACAUUUGAUGACACUAAACUACCAAGUUUACAAUCUGUUAAUCCAUCUGAAUCUCUGAAGUUUGACAACUAUCCAGAAUCUGAUUCAGAUGAUGAUGUGCCACCUGAGGUUGCAACAGGUAAUGACAACAAUGAUAAUGAUCCAGGCAAUGGUGGAGGAAAUGGCAAUAAUGCUGGAGAUUCCACUGAUGCUAGUGGUAGAUCAUCAAGUCAACCUGGCAACAGCUCAGGGGGAGCUGGUGGAUCAACUAGUCAUACACAUCAGCCUAAUGAUAAUACUGCUGAAUCAUCAAGGACACAUCUUCCAAGGGAAAGGAUUUGGAGCAGAGAUCAUCCCUUUGAUCUGAUUAUUGGUGAUCCUGAUGCUGGUGUAAGGACUAGAAGUGCUACGACAAAUGAAUGUCUCUUCUCUGGUUUUCUUUCACAAUUAGAACCAAAGAAAAUAGAUGAAGCACUUGCUGAUCCUGAUUGGGUUCUUGCCAUGCAAGAAGAACUCAAUCAAUUUGAGAGACAAGAAGUCUGGGCCCUGGUUCCAAGACCAAAAGGAAAGUCUACAAUUGGAGCUAGAUGGGUCUUCCGUAACAAGUUAGAUGGUGAUGGCAUUGUUGUAAGAAACAAAGCCAGACUGGUCGCAAAAGGUUAUUCCCAAGAAGAAGGAAUUGAUUACGAUGAAACCUAUGCUCCAGUUGCUCGUCUUGAAGCCAUCAGAAUAUUUCUUGCAUUUGCUCCACACUCCAGCUUCAAAGUUUAUCAGAUGGAUUUUAAAAGUGCAUUUCAGAAUGGAAAGCUGGAAGAAGAAGUAUAUGUGGAAUAGCCCCCUGGCUUUGAAAAUCCAGAGUUUGCUGACUUUGUGUACUUCUUAUUUAAAGCUGUCUAUGGACUCAAGCAGUCACCAAGAACAUGGUAUGACACUCUCUCUGAGUUUUUAAUUGAAAACAAUUUCACUAGAGGUAGAAGAANNNNNNNNNNNNNNNNNNNNNNNNNNNNNNNNNNNNNNNNNNNNNNNNNNNNNNNNNGUCUCUUCUCUGGUUUUCUGCACACUCCAACUUCAAAGUUUAUCAGAUAGAUGUGAAAAGUGCAUUUCACACUUGCUGAUCCUGAUUGGGCAUUUCUGAAUGGAAAGCUGGAAGAAGAAGUAUAUUUGGAAUAGCCCCCUGGCUUUGAAAAUCCAGAGUUUGCUGACUUUGUGUACUUCCUAUUUAAAGCUGUCUAUGGACUCAAGCAGUCACCAAGAACAUGGUAUGACACUCUUUCUGAGUUUUUAAUUGAAAACAAUUUCACUAGAGGUGUCAUAAACAAAACUCUCUUCUAUAAAUUGCAUUAAAAUAAUAUGAUAUUUCUUCAAAUAUAUGUUGAUGAUAUUAUAUUUGGUUCUACUAACGAUAACUUGUGCAAGAAGUUUGCUAAGUUAAUGCAGAGUAAUUAUGAGAUGAGUAUGAUGGGUGAACUGUCCUACUUCCUUGGUCUUCAAGUAAGCCAAAGGAAGAUGGAAUAUUCAUUUGCCAAUCAAAGUAUGUCAGAGAUCUUCUAAGAAAGUACAAUCUAGAAGACUCUUCUCCGGCAAAGACACCCAUGGCCACUGCCACAAAGCUUGACGAGGAUAAAUCUGGUAAGAAAGUUGAUAUCUCAAGCUAUCGAGGUAUGAUUGGCUCUUUACUCUAUCUCACUGCUAGUAGACCAGAUAUUAUGUUUGCAACAUGUUUAUGUGCUAGGUUUUAGGCUGAUCCUAAAGAAUCACAUCUUAUAGCCGGUCAAAAGGAAGAUGGCAUCUUCAUUUGCCAGUCAAAGUAUGUCAGAGAUCUUCUGCGAAAGUAAAAUCUAGAAGACUCUUCUCCGGCAAAGACACCCAUGGCCACUGCCACAAAGCUUGACCAGGAUAAAUCUGGUAAGAAAGUUGAUAUCUCAAGCUAUCGAGGUAUGAUUGGCUCUUUACUCUAUCUCACUGCUAGUAGACCAGAUAUUAUGUUUGCAACAUGUUUGUGUGCUAGGUUCCAAGCUGAUCCUAAAGAAUCACAUCUUAUAGCCGUCAAAAGAAUCUUUAGAUAUCUUAAGGGUACACCUGGUUUAGGUAUUUGGUACCCUAAGAAUACUGGUUUUGACUUAACCGGCUAUACAGAUUCUGAUUAUGCAGGUUGCAGGAUUGAUAGAAAGAGGACGUCUAGAAGCUGUCAAUUUCUAGGACGUCGGUUGGUUUCCUGGUACAGCAAGAAGCAACACUCAGUGUCCACUUCUACUGCUGAAGCUGAGUACAUAGCUGCUGGCAGUUACUGUGCUCAGAUUCUCUAGAUCAGAAACCAAUUAAAUGAUUAUGGUAUUUCUGUCGACAAAAUUCCAAUAUUUUGUGACAACACAAGUGCCAUAGCCAUUUCCAACAAUCCGGUUCAACAUUCCAGAACCAAGCACAUAGAUAUCAGGUAUCAUUUUAUUCGAGAACAUGUCAUGAAUGGUACUGUGGUGUUACAUUUCGUACCCACGUCUGAUCAAAUUGCUGACAUCUUCACUAAACCACUUGAUGAAUCCACUUUCUCUAAGUUGGUUUGUGAACUAGGGAUGUUAAAUAUGCCAUGAUUCUCAUUAUAUAUAUUUUAUAUAUGCUUUAUAUAAUUUUAUGAAUUUUCUGUGUAAUUAUAUAUAUUUUAUUCGAUUUUAUAUAAUUGUUUGUAAAUUAUCUGAUAAUUUUCUGUGUAAUUAUGCAUGUUUUUCUAUAUUUAUUUAAUUCUCUAAGUGCUGCAUACUCCCCUGUAAUAUUCUCUAUGCAUUUAGAUAAUUAUAUGUAUUUCUUUUGUAUUUUUCAAAAUUAAUGAAGCAUAAAUAUUUGAUUUUAAGUUAAUUCAUUUUAAUGAAUUAAAGUUAAAUUCAUAAAUAUUUAUGUUUAAUUACAGUUGAAUUUUACAAAAUAUAUGUGUAAUAUAUUUUAUAUUAUGUGUAUUAGAUUUUUUGUUUUUAUUUGCAAAAUGUUUUAUUUUUCAGAAAAUCAAAAAUCAUAUUAUUUAUAUAUAUAGUUUUAUUUAUUUAGCUCAGUAUGACUUUGUUAGCACAAGUCAUACUGAUUUAACUUGCUGCAUACACCAUCUGGCACGGUAUGACAUUACUUAAUAAUGUCAUACCGAGUUAUUAACCUCUCCAACACCAGUCGGUAUGACAUUAUUAGAUAAUGUCAUACCGAGUUAAUCAACAACACACACACGGUCGGCAUGACAUUACUUAAUAAUGUCAUACCGCACGCUCCGAGUAUGUCAUACUCAAGAGCUCGGUAUGACAUUAUCUUAUAAUGUCAUACCGACCCUUUUCUUCCCCUAUGACAUUAUAUUGAUAUGUCAUGCCGCCCUCCUUCAUCUCCCUCAUAUACACGCGAUACAUACACACACAGCCAUUGAUUCUUGCUCGAUUUUUUUCAAGUUUUUGCAUAAAACUUGCUGGUUUCGAUUGAUUCAAGCUUUAAGCUUGCUGGUUACUACUCCUGAUCGAGUUUCUAGUCGAAUUGCUGCCGAUUUUUCACCAAAAAUCGACCCAAUUUGCUCGCUUUUUGCUCGGUUCUUGACGAUUUCGUGACUGAUUCUUGGUUGUUCUAGGAGUCAACUACUGUAAUUGAUCGUUUCUUGACAGAUUUAUUGGGUUUUUGAACAACAAUUUCGAAACCCUCUUCUUUGGGUUCUUUCGAAUUUUAGGGUUCUUAAGAGAGGAUUUGGGGCUUUUUGGAUUUAUUGAAGCUUUGCGAGUUGUUUGGACUUCAAUUCUUGCCAUUUGAAUUAAUUAAAUUUUAAUUCGAAUUUAAUCUUUUAAUUCGAAUUAUUAAUUAAUUAAUUAAUUGAUGAUUAAUUAUUAAUUGAAAUUUGCGAGAUAUUUGAAAAUUAAUAUUUUAUUUGAAAAAUUCUCGCUUAAUUCAAUUUAUAAUUAUAUAAAUGUCUGGGAGAUUUGUAAUUGAGGAGUCCAAUUUGAAUGGUUACCUUGACCCGGACAUCAGUCUUGCUCGUUUCCGACAUUGGGUGAGAUUCCUAAAUAGUCAGUCUCUCGUCAGUACUGCAAUUACGGCUAAUGUAGAUCUUCAGAUUCAGCCGCUCCAGGACUUUUACUCUACUGCGUUAAGUACAACCUUGCUUGACAACUACCGGAUAACUGGAGAUAUUACUGGUGGACGAUCAAUCACCAUAACCACUGAUGAUGUGAAUCGGAUACUUGGGUUUCCAAGGGAGAAUUUUGCUGAGAUCCCUUCAGAUGAGGAGUUGGUCCAGUUCUUUCAGACCAUCUUAUAUCAGGGAGAGAUUUAUUUGCCAAAAAUGUUGAAAGGCAAUCUCAAACCAGAGUGGGACUUAUUCUUUGAUACUUUAGCCAAAGUAUUUGCCCCUACCACUCGCAGGAAUUUCAACAACAUAUCUUCUCUGCUUCAGAAGAUUGGAUUCUGUAUAGCUUACAAUCGUCCGAUCAAUUUUGGUAAGCUAAUUCUUCAGGAGAUUCUUAGGAAGUUGGGACCGCUGAGGAGUCGAUCUGUUCAGGAAAAUGCAAAGGUCUCGUGCUUUUAUUCAAGGUUCAUCAUGCUGUUCCUUAAUGACAAGAUGACCGAUGCUGAGAAGAACUUUUACUUCAACUCUCCUGUUGCACAAGCUCCUCGAUCCUGCACUAAAUUUAUGAAGCAGCUGGAUAAUAAGAACAAGCAUCUUAAUGUUCCUUUGAUUGUCACUCCAUAUAUGCUGGAACAGUUUAAUGCUCAGCUGUAGCCCUUUCAGAUUCCAGUGGCUCCUCCUCAACCGCAACAACAACCAGAUCAUCAACUACAACUUCAACCUCCUCAACCACAACAGCAUCAACAGCAACAGCAACCAUCUCAAGAAGAACAAUCACCGCAUCAAUCCCCUCACCAAUCACCACAUCACUCCCCUAUACAUCAAACACAACCUUCCCUUUCAUUUGAAGAUGAGCCUCAAGAAUACAUAUUUUUCGAAAAUCAACCAUCUUCAUCUGAAACUCUACCACACCUCCACACCCAACAAACACCACAAACACAAUCAACCUCUCAACCAUUACCCUCUGACUCUCCUAUCAACCAGGAGCUGCAGUCCUUUCAACAGGACCUACAGGUAGCUCAGGUACUUUCUAAUUUCUCAUCUAACUUUAAUGUUGAUACGUCAGAUUAUGUUUGUGACCUUGAUUUUGUUUUCCAGCCUACCAGCAUUGAACCUGACAACACACAGGUUCAUAUCCAAGCUGAUGACAUUCUUCAACAAACUCUCUCUUCUCCAAACACAUCAACCAACACCUCUUUGCUACCGGUUCGUAAAGUUGCCCGGAAACGGAGUGGGAGUAGUACUUUGAGUCAACCCGCAUCUUUGUCUUCUUUCAAGAAGAAAAGGGUGGAAGCCUUGGAAACAGCUGCAGCCUCAUCCUUGCCUUCCCAAAAAGGCUUGGAACUGGAACAGGCAUUGAAACAGUCUCUGGACUCAUUCUCUCUACAGAAUGAAGCCAUUGAAAUUGACCGCUCUGCCACGGUACCCUGUAUAGAUUCAAGCACUGCGCUAGCACUCACGCUAGUGCAAGACCAAACAAAUACACAGGUUAAUAUGUUUACUGAGUGCACAGAUUUUCAAAAUCAGAUUGUUAUGUAUGAAAACUUUUCUGAUCACACUUUCUUUUCUGAUCAGGGACUACUUGGCAAAGUGCAAGUAAAUCUGCCAUCACUGGCAUCUGGAGGACAAUUUGUUCCUCCACUACCUUUGAACCCAUCUCAGGGGACAUUGGUAGUCUAUACAGGUACUGCUGGAAGUGUGCAUGAUACGAGUGAAAUCAGGCAAACACCGAGCGAUACACAUGCACGUGAGGAUAGUGAACAUUCUCUGAGUGUACGUAAGGUGAGUGCACACACUACACGGAAUCUGUUACAGGAACAAUUUGAUACUCUCAAGGCUGAAUUUGAAAAGAUGGCAGCAGAAAAUGCAAGGUUGAAAGGUGGACAGUUGGUCACCUUAGAGAAGAAAGCUGAUGAGCAGCCAUCUAGUUCUUCCAGAGAUGAGCUCAAAGCUGAAAUCAAAUAUUUAUCCCUCCGAAUCGAUUCUAAUCAUGAGCUCUAUAUGGCAAAGUUUGAGGCUGUGGAGCAAUCACCGGCCCAAGUCCUCAGACUUUUGCAAGAUUCCAAAUCAAAUGCUCAAGGCUCUGGAGAGGAUCCCUCAACUAAGGGGGAGAAUAGAGGCGACAAAGGUGACAGGGACGAUAGAGGGAAUAGCUCAAAUCAAAGCAACAAGGGAAACACUUCUGGCUCUGCCCCUGACAAAGAAUCUGACAAGUCUAAAGGCAAAGAACCGUUACAUCAGUCCGACAAUAUCUUCAAUUCUGAUAAUUAUGAUGAUUAUCCUCUUGACAUGGAUGAUGAUGACGUCUUCGAUGCUACUUAUCGUCAAGCAGAUGAAGAAGGCAAAUUCGAUGAAAGCUAUUUGUUUCAGGAUGAAGAACCUGUUGACCUAGAACAUGAGGAAGAAGUAAGGAAGUAUAAGGUAGAAAAUGAAGCUAGGAAGCGUAAGCUUCAUGAUUUUCAAAAGCUUCUGGAGGACCGGCUAAUCACAGAAGAACAAAUCAAGAUCGAGAAACAGAAAAUCUUUGAUGCUGCCUGCAAGCAGAAGAAUCUUGAUAUAAAGAGGAAAGUCGGAAAGAGCUGGGAUAUGGCAAAGAGGAUCUUCAAUGGACCUCAAAGGGAGCCUUUCGAGGAUAGAAAGUUUCUAUCUCUCAUCUAUGAUCUUCGAGAGGUAAACCCUGACGAGGAUAUUUUUAUGCAUGCCUUUGCUUUGGAAAUAGAUUAUUUAACUGUGGCAGUUAAUAACUUGCUGGAAGAAUGGGAGCUGAUUGUCUAUACGAAGAGAAACGGAACAUACAGACUCUCAGUUGAUUUUCUUAAAUCAUUUUCUGUAACUGAGCUCUGGGUGCUUCGUAACAAAGUUAAGCGCUGCUCCAACUUGAACGAACUCCUUCGGGACAAACUGCUGGAUUAUGCUGAUUUCAACAGUCCACAGGUUGUUAGGAAUCCAUAUUGUGUGAAGUUCGUCAACAAGGGUGUCUUCGGUACUGUUUACUUGAAUGAAGAAGCACUUUCUAAGUAUCCAACCAAACAGCUUGCUCUGGCCUCCACUCUCCUCAGAACCAAGGGCUUCGCUUCUAAAGUCAAGUCUGAUGCUUAUGAUGUGAUUUUUGCAUAUUGCACCCGAAAGGAUGUUUCUCAGUACUUUCGGAGGAUGAAAAAGGUAACUAAAUCUCAGCCAUCAGACUUCCAGGAAGACCCUGUGGAAUUGGAAGUACUUCAUCAACUGGCUCUGGCAAGAGAACGAAAGAAGCGUGGUGAAACCACUACAUCUGAAGUGCCAACUAGACAGGAACCAUCAACUCCUACACUUCACAGUUCAGAUAUAGAAGAAGGAGAAGUUGAUCUUUAGAUUCACUAGGGAUUUGUAAUAUAUGUUCAGAAAGAACAUCCUUGUGUAAUCUAAUGUACUGUUUUGAAUUCUGGACAAUGUUUAAUUUAAUACCAGAAACUUUUGCUAUUUACAAUUCAUGUUUAAUCCUUUGUCUUAUCAGUUAGUUGAGUUAUCCUCUCGAUAAUUUGCAUGUUAUAUUAACAAACAAAUAGGGGGAGAUUGAAAGGCAAAUGUUUAGCCUAUUUGUAAUUAAAGAGGUUUCAACUCAACUAUGAUAAGAGAGCUAAGUAAAUAGCAAGUACUGUUGAAGGAAUCCGUACGAAGAACGUCAAGUGAUUUAUUAAAAUCAUAUGUCUGAAGAAUUUCAGGAUGCUGUUGCACACCACUGAUAGAAGUUCAUUAAUAUGUUCAAGCCUCAGUGUACAAAUAAUAUUUUGUAGCACGUCCAGAAGUCCAGAAGGUAUAAAGUUUUAAUACUUUAUUUAUUCAGAAGAUUCCAUACUAUUUCUACAAAUGAAGAAGAACUACGAAGACAAAGACUCGUCGAACAAGCCACCUCUCAAAUAUUUAUUUGAUAAAGAAUAUUUGAUUCAGCUAAUACAGAUGAACCAGACAGUACAUUUGUGUGUCAGCUACUCAGAUUAAUUAUUCUACAUCAACUAUAAGUGGCCGUUCAAUGAAGACAAUGACGGAAGACCCUGCAGCUGAAGAAAUAGAAUUUUAUAAUUAUUUAUUUAAUUAUUUCACCUCUCAAAAUAAUUAAAUUGGUUGUAUAAUUUAUUUAUUAAAUUGAUUCACCUUCGAAUUAAUUUAAUUUAUGAAUUUAUAUAAUUAAUAUAAUUAAGUGAAUAAUUAUUUAAUUGCAAAAUCAUGUUUUAUACAUUUAUAACUCGGCAUGACAUUAUCAAACAAUGUCAUACCGAGCUAUUUUGGUACAUUUCUCAGUGGGCAUGACAUUAUCUGAUAAUGUCAUACCGUGUCCCCUGGGUAUGACUUGUGGAGAUGUCAUACCGCACCUGCCUGACAUGACUUGUGCAUGUCAUACCGAAUGCAUCCGUAUGACAUUCCCUUCAUAUGUCAUACCGUGCCCUGUCUGUAUGACUUGUGCAUGUCAUACCGUGUCCUCUCUGUAUGACUUGUGCAUGUCAUACCGCACCUGUCCCGUAUGACUUGUGCAUGUCAUACCGCACCUGUCCAGUAUGACUUAGCUAUGUCAUACCGAGUUUUUCAGUAUGACAUUGCCUUAUAAUGUCAUACCCUCCCCUGUUUCAGUAUGACAUUGCCUAAUAAUGUCAUACCUUGUUCCUUGCAUGUCAUACCUUGUUCCUUGCAUGUCAUACCUAUACAAGUCAUACCCAAGCAAGUCAUAGCAUGGCAUGUCAUGCUAGUUCAAGUGGUUUUCCUAUAAAUAGGUCUCCACUUCCUUCAUUUGUAAAUGUUCAAAGAUUGUAAAGCUUUCAAGUUGUGCUAAACUUGCUAUUUGUUAAAUCCACAGUUUACUGUGCUUUGAUCAUUCGGUUGUUUUAUUCCGCUAAAUUAGAAUACUUCCUGUCAAAUUUAUUCUACGAACUAGUGGACAUUAAAACGAACCAUAUUAAUUAUAUAAUGACUUAAAACAUUGUUAUAUUAAUUAAUUAAUUAAAAUCUGAUUAACAAGUUUAUAUUCAAUCAGAUUAUUCCGCCGCGAUUAUUUUUAAGUAACGAUUGUAUUCAACACCCCCUUCUACAAUCGUUCCAGGACCUAACAACAUGUUACUUCACUUAGUACAGAUGAAGGACAUUAGUUUCAAGCAAGAAUAAGGAUUAUAAAUAACAUAACAACUUCAGUCAGAGUCU
rnacentral:lncRNA from 1 species